AUAGGAACAGAGGCAGUUUAUUAAGAAAGAGGAGGACUCUCCUGAGGCGGCGGCACCACGGUUGCCCCUUUAUGCUCCGGACACAGCAACUGUCUUCUGCACUUGUCUGUUGUGGGCUUUUCCUUAGCAUGGCCAGGCGGGCUGUGCAGCUUUCUUUGCUGACUGACUUCUCCAUGCCAGUCUUGAUGCCUCUUUCUCCGUAUUCCUUCUGUGCUGGCACAGCACCAUAGUUCACCCCCCUCUGCAGGCUCUUGGGAAGACCGGCCAGCUUAGUGAGCAGCUCUGCCCGACCCCAGCCUCAUUUCACUUCCUCUUCCCUGGUCUCCGGGAGCUCCUGCUGUCCCCGCUGACCACCUCCUCUCUACCCUGCCCUGCCGCCGCCUGCCCCAUGACCCUUAGUUUGGAAUUGUUGCUUCCUGAAUUUUGGCUGGAAAGGGUUGAGCGGGGCUGUUAAUAAAGACUCGUUCCUAGGCCUCAUCCUAGAUGUUCCGUGCUCAGUCCAGAGCUGGAGGCCUCCAGCUUUCCCACUAAAGCCUCGGGACAUCCAGUUGCUUUGGGGACAAGGGUCCCCCUUUACCUGGUGCCAGUUUUAGUCUUGGUGGGGAGCUGUUAGCCCUGCUUGCAUUCCCAGUGACUCCUCACCCCCCUCCAAUCGCACCUUGUUUUUGUCCCUGAAGACAAAGUGACGGGUCCCUAAGGAGCUGGGAUGGGAUGAGAGGCCACCAUGGAAGGGCCUAGGAAUCAAAGUGAAACAAGCCCGGCCAGCGGGGCUACCUUCUUGCUGGGCCACUGAUCUCACUUGAGUGGGGGAAGGAGGCAGAAUCUUCAACCUAGGAGAGCAGGGCAGGCCCUGGCAGAGGCUCCUGAGAGGAGCAUCAGGUAGCUGGGAGAGGGGACUCACGCUUGAGAGAUCCGCUGUGACAGACAGCAAAUCUUUACUCUUGGAUCCAUGUAAGCGGUCCUUUCGCUUGCCCACCACUUUCUGGGAUCCUAUCCUUAGCUAGAGCAAGACUCUGUAGCUCACUACUACACAGUCCGGCACAUAGUAGGCCCUCAAUAAAUAUUUGUUGAAUGAAUGAGAUGCAAUUCAAAGCCAAGAACAGAUUUGGGGCAUCUCUGAAUCUUUCAUGUCACCAUCUCCACCGGAGACCUGGGUUCGAGAGUUUCCUGGGGUCUAGGUCCCCUGACAGGGCAGGUGGUGGGACCUCACCUCAGAGUCUAACAGAACGCUAAUUAUGUGUCUGUGAGGGACCCAGAACUUCCCUUUAAUACAGAGAGUGCCUUGUCCCAUCAGCUCUCGGGGAUCCUGAGCUCCCCAGCUCAGGAGCCGCUCAGCAGCUGCUGGGUCCUCGGUCCCUCCUCACUGCCAUCAGACGCAGACAUGGGCAGUGUCACGGACUCGGCGCUCAGCUGCGUGUGACUGCAUUUCUGCCUAGAUUCCAGUGCUCCGGGAUCCUGGCCCCUGCUGACCUCUUCAACUUUAUCUCCUGUCCCCAUGCCGUCCCUCAACAGGCCAUCCUAACGCCUUUUCAUUUAAGCCUUUUCUGGCUAAAUUAUCUUUUCCUGACUGCACUAUCCAUCCCGCUGUCACAGAGACUUGGUGUUUACAACACCGAGUGAUAGAAGUCUAGAAAUGCCACUCUGUCUUGGACUUCUGUUUAUGAAAGAUUAAAAAGCAGAGCAAACCUCACCAAGCCCGCCUGCCCCUCCUGGCACUGCUGGGCAGCCUCAGAAGAGGCUCCAUCCUUUGUUCUCCUAGGACACGAGUGUCAUGGAGAGGUGGCCCUUAGGAGGUGGCCAGGGCCUUAUCUCGCCUGUGCCUUGUCCCAGCCUCCAUCUUACAUGAAGAAGCUGAGGUCCAGCACAGGACAUAUUCUAGAAAUAUUCCGAGCAGAUUCCUCCUGCCCUUGUCCUUGCCACUGUCCAGCUAGCAGGGGUCACAGAGGUACUGGGCAGGUCACCUCAUGGGGGAAUGAGAAGCCACAGGAUUGGACGGGGUAUAGAGAGCUUCACUCAGCCUCCUGGGUCUUUGGCUCAAAGACAACCCUUAGGUGUCCCAAGAGGGCUCCACUUAGGUGUCAUUGGCGGGACUUGGGGGUGUAUGUGUGUGUGUGUGUGUGUGUGUGCGCUAUUUGUUGGUUAAGGAACAUCCUGUCCCCAACUCCUAUGGACUGACUGCCUGCACUGUGAAAGUCCCGGCCCCCAGCUUAUCCUUAUUGACAUAACAGAAGAAACAAAUUAAUUUUUUCUGAUAACUCUGGGUCUUCUCUAUAUAAGGUCAACUCCUAUGUAAACACUGACCAAUAAAACCCAGCAGGUAUUUGAGACAUGUCCACCAUGAGAAGCAAAAGGCCAUUUCUGUCCUUUUCUCAGUGGGUGCCGCAGAAGGAAUGAAGCAUAUUUGGUGGGAAAUGUUCAUUUUACAAAAAUUUUGAAUUCUUCUGCCCCCCCCCCCAAGAAGUUUCAGGCCCUGCCCUGGAAAAAGAAAUUUUCAGUUCUGUAACCCAUACAUUUUACUCUAAAAAUGUCCUCUUUCUGUGACGGGGAUUAAAGCGCUCAGCGGUGAGCGCUCGCCUAGUCGUCUUGAGGGUCUAGGCUCCAUCCUGGGACCAAAAAAGGAAAAAGGUCACCAAUAUCAAUAGACUUGAUUUUUCUCCCUUAGAAGUUUUCAAAUUAGAUUUAGAUGAAUUUCAUUUUAAAGUGCAGGAAAGGAUGUAUUCCUCAUGUAAAAGCAUCCACCAACAGCACUGGCCAGAGCCGAGAGCUGGCUGUGGGGUGACCCCGAGAGGGAGGAGCCCCUAACUGACCACACAGCCCAGGGCCCCGGAGCUCUCCUGUCUGGGUCACGUUGUCACUGAACAUGGCUUGUAGUGUCCGAGUAGUGUUAGCUGUUCGUCUGGAAGCCGGAGCCGAGGUUCUUGUCUGGGGUGAAUGGUACGAUACACGGGGAGUUCCUAAACUUGUAGGCAGUACAAGGACAUGCUUUUCACUAAUGUUGUACACGUACCCCAAAUCAGUCCUGCCCCCCAGCCCCAGCCCCAAACCCAAAGGGGUUUUUGGUCCUGUUGCUUUUUAAUGGCAUCAUUCCCAUGCUUUAGCUAAAGUUAGAGGGUCAGUGGCGUACAGAAAGCCAGUGACUGUGGCUUCCGAGUGCUGGUUCCUUUCAUUCCUGGGUGGCCUGGGCCAGGACCAGCACCCUAGUUGAAGGCUUUGGGUGCUUUUGUAGGCCUGAAUGAGAAAACCUCAAGAAUCAGGACUUCUGAGAGCUGGGCAUGAUGGCGCAUGCCUUUAGUCUCAGCACUAAAGGAGGCAGAAGCAAGAGGAUCUCUACGUUUGAGGCCAUCCUGGUCUACGUAGUGAGUUCCAGGAAAGCCAGGGCUAUGGAGAGAAGCCCUGCUCAAAAGAUAACUCCCCCUCUCCCCCAGGGGAAAAAGGUAGGGGAAAGAAUCAGACUCCUGGAAGUAUCCUGGUCCACAGAGGCAGACAUUGAGGAGUUUCUGCUGGCCUUGCCCUAUCCAAGUGGGUCUGCUGUUGCCUUUUUUUUUUUUUUUUCUUUUUUUUUUUUAAGCUUCCAUAAUAGGUCCUGCCCCUGUAGGGAUGAAAUCCAGUGUCUCUGGAGUGAGGUGUCAGGGCCCGGCCUUCCCUGAACACCCAUUUCCACACGGGGGCCCUUCCGUGGUUUCUGCCUUGCGCUGCUGAUGUCUCCAAACACUUCCCCGUGCCCUGCCCCUCCACAGAAAGGCCCUCUCCAAACACCCCAUCUGAAGUAGGGUGGCCCGGCCCCAUUCCUGUGACUUCUGCAUGUCUUUCCUUCGGGGCACUUCAAGUUCUGUGCGUUUCUGUGCCAGCUAGUCUCUUUGGGCCCUAUCGGCCAGUCUGUGUAACCAAGUCCUCUGUAACUGCGACUCGCGCUCACAAAUGUUCAUUCGCUCAGUGAGCUAGGAAGGUCUUCGGCCUUGGUGCUGGGGCCCUAGACGCCGCCCGCCGGCGGUGUGUCCGCCACCCACAAGGCUGUUGCCCGGCCCAGGCUGGCAAGGACGAAGGAAGGGCCUGUUUCUGAGAUGGUCCUGGUCUGCAGAGGACCCAGCUCUGAGGAAGAGGCAGCCGCCUCCCUCCCUGCCCAGUUCUCAGGCCCCUCAGGCCCCGCUGCUGGAGGCUGCAGCAGCGCCCAGGGCCCGACUGCCUUGCAGCUCCAGGCUUGGCCGUUGGAAAGCGUUGGGAGCGCCCAUCCCCCUCCACACCCCAUCUCCAUGGAUACCCACGCUCUCCCCACCCCCACCCCAGUCACGGAGGCGGCCCCCAUUGCAGGCCCUGUGUGGCUGCCACUCACAAAGCCACCGUGUGCUCACAGACCCUUCUCCAGAGAAGUGGCCAGAAGAACUAGGGAGGGGCGUGGGGGUGUUGGAAUGUUUGCUGCUGGGUCAGCCUUGUCUUUGCAGCCUCGCCCUCCUCCUUUUAUCCCGAGAGGGCCCAGAGGUUUCCCCUUGGGGCCUAGUCCAUGUAACCUGAGGCCGUGGCUUUGGGGACUGCUUCCCUCCCGCACUUCAGCUUAAGCACUCGGUGGGGAGAAGACAGGACCCUUCACGCCGCAGUGUCCAGACGCCGGUACCAGCUGGUGGCACAGGGAUCAGCUUGCUUGGGAAGGUUGGAGAAGCUGCCUGGGAGGGACCUGGAAGUGAGUCUAUCCACUCCACAGCCCUGAGAUGCCUGAAAUCAGAUCCUGGGCUUACCACUCUGGGCCAGGCGUGGAUGUGGGACUUUCCUGGGAAUGGUUGCUCUACAAGUGGAGGGAUGCUGGAGUGCAGGAAUCCCAAUCUACAGCUGAUGCCAACAGGGUCCUCUCCACAACAACCACACUGAAUGAAGAUGUCAUUUUUAACAGUGAGUCUGUGCCAGGGGGCAGGAGAAGGAAGGAAGGAAGGAAAGCAACAGGAGUCUGAAGAUUCUGGGGAGCAGACAGGGACUCAUAUGUAUUCCAAGCUGGCCCUGAACUUGCUAUGUUGAGGAUCUUGACCUCCUAAAUCCUCCUGCCUCUACAGUGCUGGGAUUACAAGGCAUUUAUUACCAAGCUGGGUUUAUGUUGUGCUGAAGAUGGAUCGAUCCCAGGGUCUCAUGAAUGACAGCUGAACUCAAGCUCCAGAGCUGACCAUGAAUGUUGUUACUGAGACACCCCAGAGGCCUUAUCACAUUUGCUCUCUGAGCAAAGCAGCCCUGUGUGGACACAGCAAGAAGACAGCCAUCUGCAUGGCAGGAGAGUCAGUCCCCUAUCCCAAACCCCGGGUCCCAGACUCUACAACUGUGACAACAAAAUAAAAUGUCUUCUGUAUAA